UUAAGCGACUAAGCGUACACGGUGGAUGCCCUGGCAGUCAGAGGCGAUGAAGGGCGUGCUAAUCUGCGAUAAGCGCCGGUAAGGUGAUAUGAACCGUUAUAACCGGCGAUACCCGAAUGGGGAAACCCAGUGUGAUUCGUCACACUAUCAUUAACUGAAUCCAUAGGUUAAUGAGGCGAACCGGGGGGAACUGAAACAUCUAAGUACCCCGAGGAAAAGAAAUCAACCGAGAUUCCCCCAGUAGCGGCGAGCGAACGGGGAGGAGCCCAGAGCCUGAAUCAGCAUGUGUGUUAGUGGAAGCGUCUGGAAAGGUGCGCGAUACAGGGUGACAGCCCGUACACAAAAGCGCAUGUGCUGUGAGCUCGAUGAGUAGGGCGGGACACGUGGUAUCCUGUCUGAAUAUGGGGGGGACCAUCCUCCCAAGGCUAAAUACUCCUGACUGACCGAUAGUGAACCAGUACCGUGAGGGAAAGGCGAAAAGAACCCCGGCGAGGGGGAGUGAAAAAGAACCUGAAACCGUGUACGUACAAGCAGUGGGAGCACAGGUUUACCUGUGUGACUGCGUACCUUUUGUAUAAUGGGUCAGCGACUUAUAUUCUGUAGCAAGGUUAACCGUAUAGGGGAGCCGUAGGGAAACCGAGUCUUAACCGGGCGUUAAGUUGCAGGGUAUAGACCCGAAACCCGGUGAUCUAGCCAUGGGCAGGUUGAAGGUUGGGUAACACUAACUGGAGGACCGAACCGACUAAUGUUGAAAAAUUAGCGGAUGACCUGUGGCUGGGGGUGAAAGGCCAAUCAAACCGGGAGAUAGCUGGUUCUCCCCGAAAGCUAUUUAGGUAGCGCCCUCGUGAAUUCAUCUCCGGGGGUAGAGCACUGUUUCGGCUAGGGGGCCAUCCCGGCUUACCAACCCGAUGCAAACUGCGAAUACCGGAGAAUGUUAUCACGGGAGACACACGGCGGGUGCUAACGUCCGUCGUGAAGAGGGAAACAACCCAGACCGCCAGCUAAGGUCCCAAAGUCAUGGUUAAGUGGGAAACGAUGUGGGAAGGCCCAGACAGCCAGGAUGUUGGCUUAGAAGCAGCCAUCAUUUAAAGAAAGCGUAAUAGCUCACUGGUCGAGUCGGCCUGCGCGGAAGAUGUAACGGGGCUAAACCAUGCACCGAAGCUGCGGCAGCGAACGUAUCACCCAAGACAACUUUACGGAGUUGACGAUUGACGGAGCGAAGCGACGUCAAAGCGUUCAUUAAAGUCGAGUUGGCUUAGGGAUACGUUCGUUGGGUAGGGGAGCGUUCUGUAAGCCUGUGAAGGUGUGUCGUGAGGCAUGCUGGAGGUAUCAGAAGUGCGAAUGCUGACAUAAGUAACGAUAAAGCGGGUGAAAAGCCCGCUCGCCGGAAGACCAAGGGUUCCUGUCCAACGUUAAUCGGGGCAGGGUGAGUCGACCCCUAAGGCGAGGCCGAAAGGCGUAGUCGAUGGGAAACGGGUUAAUAUUCCCGUACUUGGUGUUACUGCGAAGGGGGGACGGAGAAGGCUAUGUUGGCCGGGCGACGGUUGUCCCGGUUUAAGCGUGUAGGUGUGUGUUCCAGGUAAAUCCGGUUCACUUUAACACUGAGGCGUGACGACGAGGCACUACGGUGCUGAAGCAACAAAUGCCCUGCUUCCAGGAAAAGCCUCUAAGCAUCAGGUAACAUCAAAUCGUACCCCAAACCGACACAGGUGGUCAGGUAGAGAAUACCAAGGCGCUUGAGAGAACUCGGGUGAAGGAACUAGGCAAAAUGGUGCCGUAACUUCGGGAGAAGGCACGCUGACACGUAGGUGAAGUGAUUUACUCAUGGAGCUGAAGUCAGUCGAAGAUACCAGCUGGCUGCAACUGUUUAUUAAAAACACAGCACUGUGCAAACACGAAAGUGGACGUAUACGGUGUGACGCCUGCCCGGUGCCGGAAGGUUAAUUGAUGGGGUCAGCGCAAGCGAAGCUCCUGAUCGAAGCCCCGGUAAACGGCGGCCGUAACUAUAACGGUCCUAAGGUAGCGAAAUUCCUUGUCGGGUAAGUUCCGACCUGCACGAAUGGCGUAAUGAUGGCCAGGCUGUCUCCACCCGAGACUCAGUGAAAUUGAACUCGCUGUGAAGAUGCAGUGUACCCGCGGCAAGACGGAAAGACCCCGUGAACCUUUACUAUAGCUUGACACUGAACAUUGAGCCUUGAUGUGUAGGAUAGGUGGGAGGCUUUGAAGUGUGGACGCCAGUCUGCAUGGAGCCGACCUUGAAAUACCACCCUUUAAUGUUUGAUGUUCUAACGUGGACCCGUAAUCCGGGUUGCGGACAGUGUCUGGUGGGUAGUUUGACUGGGGCGGUCUCCUCCUAAAGAGUAACGGAGGAGCACGAAGGUUGGCUAAUCCUGGUCGGACAUCAGGAGGUUAGUGCAAUGGCAUAAGCCAGCUUGACUGCGAGCGUGACGGCGCGAGCAGGUGCGAAAGCAGGUCAUAGUGAUCCGGUGGUUCUGAAUGGAAGGGCCAUCGCUCAACGGAUAAAAGGUACUCCGGGGAUAACAGGCUGAUACCGCCCAAGAGUUCAUAUCGACGGCGGUGUUUGGCACCUCGAUGUCGGCUCAUCACAUCCUGGGGCUGAAGUAGGUCCCAAGGGUAUGGCUGUUCGCCAUUUAAAGUGGUACGCGAGCUGGGUUUAGAACGUCGUGAGACAGUUCGGUCCCUAUCUGCCGUGGGCGCUGGAGAACUGAGGGGGGCUGCUCCUAGUACGAGAGGACCGGAGUGGACGCAUCACUGGUGUUCGGGUUGUCAUGCCAAUGGCACUGCCCGGUAGCUAAAUGCGGAAGAGAUAAGUGCUGAAAGCAUCUAAGCACGAAACUUGCCCCGAGAUGAGUUCUCCCUGAGACUUAGAGUCUCCUGAAGGAACGUUGAAGACGACGACGUUGAUAGGCCGGGUGUGUAAGCGCAGCGAUGCGUUGAGCUAACCGGUACUAAUGAACCGUGAGGCUUAACCUU
rnacentral:rRNA from 1 species